CUCAGGUUCAACAGCUCAGACGAGUGGAGGAUUUGUUUCAAUGUUUACCAACCUGAUUCGGUGGCUGACUUCAAGAAGAGCAACCCAGGGAAACCUUACGCCCGCAUGUGUGUGUGCAGUUUCGACGGCCCUGUUCCCGACCUGCGAGCUAUCAAGCUGCUGGCCUUCCAGAGCGGAGACGUCCCGGUGGUCUUCGCUGUCGUGGACUACGGAGACAUCUCCUUCUACACCUUCAAAGACUUCCAGCUGCCCACUGAUGUGUUCCCCUAAGACCUCUCUGUACCAACGUGUAUAAAACGUGUAAAGAAUCUGUUGGGUUGGUGCGACGUAGAAAAAUGAAAAUGGAACCAUUUUGAUGUUACAGAUGGUUCUCUUGUGUGCCAAAGAUUCAACUCCUGAUGGAGCUCACUCUGCCGUCUGUGACUGUGUCCUUUUUAAUGCUGCCUCUGAGCGGUGCCAGAGUGGGAAAUGUUUAAAUGACACACGCAGUGGGUUUGUCAGUUUUCAGACUGCGGAGCUUUUAGAGAGAAAAGAUAUUUUCUCUAUUUAAUUUUGAGGCAAACAGACCGAGUGACGUAUACGAACUAUUAAACCGACUUUAAAGAC